rnacentral:rRNA from 1 species
AUUGAACGCUGGCGGCAUGCCUUACACAUGCAAGUCGAACGGUAACAGGUCUUCGGAUGCUGACGAGUGGCGAACGGGUGAGUAAUGCAUCGGAACGUGCCCAGUUGUGGGGGAUAACUGCUCGAAAGAGCAGCUAAUACCGCAUACGACCUGAGGGAGAAAGAGGGGGAUCGCAUGACCUCGCGCCAUUGGAGCGGCCGAUGUCAUAUUAGGGAGUUGGUGGGGUAAAGGCCUACCAAGCCGACGAUCUGUAGUUGGUCUGAGAGGACGACCAGCGACACUGGGACUGAGACACGGCCCAGACUCCUACGGGAGGCAGCAGUGGGGAAUUUUGGACAAUGGGCGCAAGCCUGAUCCAGCCAUGCCGCGUGCGGGAAGAAGGCCUUCGGGUUGUAAACCGCUUUUGUCAGGGAAGAAACGCUCUGGGUUAAUACCUCGGGGUAAUGACGGUACCUGAAGAAUAAGCACCGGCUAACUACGUGCCAGCAGCCGCAGUAAAAC